AGGUCAGAACUCGUUGUGCCUCCGAUGUGUCGAACAUCUAUUUUCUCACUGUUUUCAAACGUAAUUUCGGUGCUUCUCGUGGUGUAUGAAUUAAAAUCGCGUUGGAAAAGGAUUCUCUAAUAAUCUACCGCCUGUCAUCAUCGACAUCCAUCUACAUCGAGUAUUUAUCCGUUACUGGAAAUUGGCACUGGUAUGACAAGAGAGGUUAUUCUUUCCGGGAACGCGUGCGGUCCCGCGAAUGUUUAUAUACAACAGGGCGGUUGAAUGUUUCGAAACACGGAUUAUCUCUCCGUGGUACGUGAUUCUCUUCGAUGAUUCUCAGAAAAACGGAGACACGUGUAUACGUACCGGUAUACGCGAAUCCAAUCGUGCUCCGACUCUUCGUUGACUGGAUAAGAAUAAGAGUGCAGUUUCGUGACACGGCGUAAUUUACCGGUAGUGUAUAAAGCGUGCAAUGGCGGGGGAAACGGUGAUUUACAUUCGCGAGAUCAAUUUCGUCGACUGAUUAAUGCCGAUACGCAACGAUUUAAUUGCAUCAUCCGUAUCGAAUCUCUGGAUACCUCUGCUGCGUGUUCCUCAAGGUACGUUCCCGUGUAGUGUCGGUGCGAGUAACGACCUCUAAGAUAGGGGUAUACCGGCGAGUUCGUAUGAACCCAGUGGUGCAGUAAACUAGACGCCGUGCCCGGAACGUUAUUUGUGGUUAAGUUCGGUUGUAUUCGGAGUUUGACGAUUCUCGGGAAUUCCAACUAGCACAGUCACGUAAUGCCAGAUAACCAGACCGUUUAUUUGGAAUCGUAAAACAUUAGGAGAUUCAUCGCAACCGUAUAACGAUUCAAUAACCCCAUUCGAUAGAAAUUAGCUUAUCGGUCGGUGCAAUUAAUUUUGUCGGUGGAAUCGAACGUGUAUCUCGGUCUCAUACUUAACUCACUGCCAUUAUUUUAAAGUGUUCUUUCAUUAAACUUGAACCGUGAAUCGAUUCAUCAAAAUCACAGUGAUAAUUGUGUUUCAUAAUAAUUCUCCGAGUUGCCGUCGCGUCGCUUCAGAGGAUUCGUUGAUCAACCGCCUAAUUCUCUCCGGUCCUCUAACUGCUUCAGACUCAAUCGAAAUCAUUUUCCCUAUUUUCCGGAAGAAACUCAGCGAUUUUAGCUCGCCAUUGGUACUUGAGCGUUCCGGUGAAACGGUCAAAGAGUCCGAGGAGGAAAUCCGAGUAACAAUCUCGUUUCGUUCAAUUAAUCUCGCGGAACGGGAUUAAUUGGGACACCGGUUCGAGAUCCUCUGCUGGCGUAGCAAUUAGGAGGGAGUCCGCGGUGGUAGAAGUUUCGUGAUCGAGGUGGUGGUAGUCGGAUCGGUGGAAAGAAGGAUUGGUCGAAAGGACGAUUAGGGUAGCGAAGGUCGAGCAGGUGACGGGGAGGGUAUCGAGAAGGAAUACGACGGUAACGUUGAGGAGGAUACAAAGGCGUCGGGACGAUGUGGACGACGGCGGCGCAAUGCAGCAACGACGGUGGCACCGGCAGCAAAAUCGGCAACAACAACGAGAACACCGACUGUACCGGCAGCAACAACAGCAGCUGCAAUUAGUGCCGGCUCACGACGGUCGCGAGACUACGUAACCGCUGAAAGAGCGUCGGGACGCGGGGGCGGGUGGUUAGGUCGGUCGGUACGUCGUUGAGAGUUGGAGGUUCGAGGGUGUGUGUUCAGUGCGCGAAAGGGAGACAAAAUGUGGUGGAGGUGCCGGUGGAGUGUCGCGACUACGACCACGGUGUUCGUGUUGGGGGUUGCCACGGUUUACUCGCAGCUGGAGAUAUCUGAUCUGGAUAAGCCAAUUCCAAUGGUUACCGUUAGCGGAGUAGUGGGAAAGAAAGUGCAGCUACCUUGUGACAUUCGUUCCGCUGAAAACGACAACGUCAGCAUGGUGCUUUGGUACAAAGAAGGAGAGGGAGAACCCAUCUACAGCUUCGACGUUCGUGGUCGUCGACAGUUCCACAAUGCUCGCCUUUGGUCGUCGCCGACGGCAUUGGGACCAAGAGCUUUUUUUUUCCCGGUGUCGAAUCCUGCACACCUCAGCAUCGAGAAGCUGGAAUCCAGGGAUGAAGGGAUCUAUCGGUGUCGAGUAGAUUUCAAGAACUCGCCAACGAGAAAGCAGAAGACGAAUCUGACUGUUAUAGUGCCUCCGUCGAAGCCGGUGAUACUGGACGGAACGACGAGGGAUAUUUCGAGGUUAGAGGAACCCUACAACGAGGGGAGUGACGUGAACCUGAUUUGCGAGGUACGAGGUGGCAGGCCGCCCCCGAAGCUGACGUGGUACCUCGAGAACACCGUGAUAGACGAGUCCUAUCACUACAACACCGAGUCAGGUCUGACGGUUAACCGCUUGUCCUACCCUAAAGUUGGACGGCAACACCUCAAGGCCCGGCUGAUUUGUGAGGCUAGCAACACUAACUUGGAGCUACCGCAAACCAGACUCGUCAUCCUCGACGUCAAUCUAAAGCCACUGGUCGUGCAGAUUUUGACGAAGGAGCCUCGAGUUUCUGCUGACAAGAACUACGACGUGGAGUGCAGAACAAGUGGUUCCAGGCCAGAAGCAGUAAUUACUUGGUGGAAAGCGAACAAGCAGAUUAAGAAAAUGGCACAAAAUUACGCAUUGGAAAAUAAUCAGAGCCUCAGUAUCUUGAGUUUCGUGCCAAGCAUAGAAGACGAUGGAAAAUAUCUGACGUGUCGAGCGGAGAACCCUGCCAUUCCUGACAGUGCUUUGGAGGACAAGUGGAGACUGGACGUGCAGUAUCAGCCUGUGGUGACUCUCAAGAUGGGCGAAACCUUGAAUCCAGAUAGUAUCAAAGAGGGUGACGACGUCUAUUUCGAGUGCUUAGUCAGGGCUAAUCCAAAAGUGUACAAGCUUGCCUGGUUCAAGGAUGGUAAAGAACUGAAGAACAAUCUCACUGGGGGUAUCGUCCUCAGCGAUUAUUCUCUGGUUCUUCAAGGUAUAACCCGAUACUCAGCGGGUGAUUACACCUGUCGUGCUGCCAAUGGCGAAGGAAAAACUACCAGUAACCCAGUCACUCUUCGAAUAAUGUAUACGCCAGUUUGCAAAGAGGGUAGAAGCGAGGUGGUGGUCGGUGCCCUGAAACAGGAAACCGUAUCGUUGGUUUGUUCCGUGGAAAGUCAUCCCGCACCGUUGACUUUCCACUGGACAUUCAAUAAUUCUGGCGAGCUGGUGGAGGUUCCUCAUUCUCGUUACUCGCAUGUGCCAGCACCAGGGACACCGUCCGUUGCCGAAAGCCUGAAGGAGUAUCAACAGUUCCACGGCUCCAGGUUAAACUACACACCUUCCACGGAAAUGGACUAUGGCACUGUAGCGUGUUGGGCGACUAACCAAGUUGGCAAGCAACGAGCACCGUGUCUAUUUCAAGUGAUAGCUGCCGGUCGUCCAUACGCUCUCCACAACUGUAGCGCGACAGAAAUGUCCGCCCCUUUGGAUAAUGAAGAAUUGAGCGCAAAAUCUGGAACCGGUCUUCUAGUGCGAUGUUUGGAAGGAUACGACGGUGGACUUCCAAUCUACAGUUACCAAUUAGAGGUCGUCUCCGACGAGGACGGUGGACCGAUAUUACUGAACAAGACCGUUCCAGCGAGCCCAAAUGGACCAAUGUUUGAGGUAGCAGGCCUAACGACAGGAAAGAGUUACCGACUUUUUCUCUACGCGAUUAAUGCGAAAGGGAGGAGCGAGCCUGCCAUUCUGGAGCCAGUGACCCUGAAGGGUGUUGCCAUGUACACCACCGGCACCACGGACGCCUCGAUGCUGAGUCCAUUGCUGUUGGGCCUGGCAGCGACGGCGACCCUUUUGGCCCUGGCCGUAACGGGAAUCCUGGCGGCGCUCUACCGGAAGCACUCAAACGGCCGGCCCGGAAGUCCGAAGCACGCUCCGAUCGUGUGCGAGCCACCUAAUGCAGGUGCAACUACCCCGGUCCACCCUCAGACCAAGCAGGCGGUCGAUGACAUCGAUCCGGACAUCAUACCCAACGAGUAUGAGAGAAGACCCCUAACGUACACCCCAAUAUACAAGACACCCCCGCAACGAAGAAAGAAGGAUCGAGUCACGGACGAGGCGAUUUCGCCGGAGAAAAGGCCGAUCGUGCAACACGGUUUAGAUCUUCCGCCGGAUCCGAUGUUGACCGAUUGCCUGCCAACACCGACCAUAAGUUACCCACAGAAUCACGUCUCGCAGACGAACACUUACAGCAACCCACCGACCAUGGCGGAUUUCAAGCAGAUGGCAAUGGAUGCUUACAAUCAGCGAAAUAAUCAAAACAUGCAGUUAUUGUUUUCAUUCAAAUAAAAUCUACCUACUUCGAUUCUUCGAUCAUCAUCAGCUUACAAAAACUGAAUCCAGAAUAGAUAACAAAUGAACAGCUUUGUAUUAUAUAGUAUUUGAAAAUUACAAAAGCAACGCGCUAAGAAAAGGGCGUACGCUAUUGGACGAGACAUUGUAACUCGUGCAUUUCUGAGAGCUCAGCAUAACGGUGUUUGCAUACAUUACGCACCUUCGGUCUUGUUAACAACGACCAGUAGGGAACGCCACGUACCCUAUUAUUAUAUGUGCCAGUCGUGUCUCUGGGGCUAUUAAGACGACCUACUCCGCAUCCAACGUUCUCCCAGCUUUCCGAACUGUCACCAACUCUGCUUGUGAAUACACCAAGUAAUUACGAUCCAUCCAAGUAGUGUAAUCCGAUGAUUUUGUACAAACUACAAACUAGACACUCAUUGAAAUGAGUACUGCUUGACCCGAUUUUGUUGAAAUAACCCGAAACCAGUUGAUUGUGACCACUUUGAGUAAAUUGCUUCGAAAAAGAUCUACGACGGUUCCCAUCCCAUCCCCUAAGAAGGACAUAAUUAUAUCUCCACCGGAAGUUCCAAUCGACGGAAGUUUUUCGAAGCCACCCCUCCCAGCCUUCUUCGCGGGAAUUGAACAGUGCUUCCUCAGCUGCCGAACGGAGACGAGAAAUUACCUUGGAAGGCAAACAAAUCUUUCCAUAAAUCGUCCCCGGUCGAACGCAAGCAGAUUUUCUGAAAAUUCUAUCGCGCAUACCCCAGUUCGACGUGUCCUCGUAACGAGCCCCUUUUUAAAAAGAGAAACGCUCGACUUAGCGUCAUAACCGGCAUCCGGAAGUCAGCAGGUAGGACGAAUAGAAGGGUAUUUCGAAGGUUUACACGAGGAAUUCUGCAUCUUGCCGAGAACAAUGGAAAGCUGAAGACCGUCAUUAACCGUGGAAGAGGUGGGAUGUAUGCUGUAGCCUUGAAACAAGAGCACCCCGAAACAAGCCAGGUUCGCGUCUUUGGUCCCAUCUGGACCAGCCGUGUCAAGCGGCUCGUAUGGGUCUCAACGCUCUAUCCCCAGUCUAUUGGUCCUGCCACACGGGAAACGACCACGCACACAGAGUGGGCCAGGUAAACGAUGACUGGCAACAGAAACCCACGAAUUUCGCGGAGUUUCAGGCUUUCGAAACAAUGGAAACUUGUCCGCUUCUCUGGAUCCCUCGUGGAUUAGGCGGGCAACGUCAGCCACGGUAUACGUUCCUGAUAAAUAGUUCCUUUCCGGUAUAAUUCGGGGAUCUACGCUAUUGACCCCUUGAAUAGCUGAUGAAAGAACACUGCGACAGUUCCUGGAAUAUGUAGCUGAGCCAAGGCAGAGAUUAACUAAGUUCUUAACGAUCCAACGGCAUAGUCCGACUAGACGCGGAGCUAUUCUACUUCAGCCGGAUGUAAUCCGAGGAACGGGGGAACGUUCAAGGGAAAGAACGAAAAAUGAAAUUUCGGAUUAUCGUCUGUUCGUAGAUGUACUCGAGAGUAACCAUGAACGAAACAAUUUCCUCACUCGCGACUGGUAAAACGAGACGAUAGCCGGGUGCUCGACGUCGGCAGGACAUCCGGGCAUAACUCGAGCGUAAUCGUACCCUGGAUAACUGGCUAUCCGCUAGAAAGCGGAUAAUUCCACGCUCUUCCUGUAUUUCGUACCAGACCACUUUCUCGUUCGAAAGGCGAAUUGGCUGGUUUAAAAGGGGCGUAAGGGACGAGAACGAAAUGGCAGAUAAAAACUAUGCGAGAAUGAUCCUCUUAGAGGAGGACAGUGAUACCCUUACGAACGGAAAAUAAAGAAGCAAGAUAGGGAUAGUCUAACUGGAACAGGAUAGACGGGGAGGAAAGAGAAACGGGAUGGUUUCUUGUCGACGAUAAAGAUUUAAUGUUGUGUGUCGGUGGGUCGAAUCGUGUAAAAGAACAGGCGUGAUCCUGCUUUCUUGACUCCUCUUUCAACGAAGGGAAUCCGCUUGCGAGGCGAACACUCGUAAAACCGUUUACGUGACACGUUGAGGUACACUGUAUUUACAUUUAUUUAUUAGCAGUAUUAUUUUCAAAAAUUGGUAUUGAUAUAAAAUCGAGAAGCAUAAAUAAGGGGUUGAGUAAUAUUUUUAGAAGAAAUAUAAAAUUUUCCAACGGGUUUAAAAUCAAUUAAUUUAUUUUACAAAAUGAAAUUAUUCUUGUGACGAUCGGUAAUCAUUGCUAAUUGAGGUUUACAAAGCAAACAUCAGCGAAGAAAGACGUCGUUCGAAGUUAGUAAAGCACGGAAGCAUCGAAAGGGAGGAAGUUGGAAGAAAAUCAGCGGAAAAGCGGAAGGAAAGCUUUGAUCGUUGGCGCGAUCGACGAGGCCGGUAACACCAGAGGUUCAGUAAUUGGCUGUUACAUUUUAAACAACCGGCCGCGUACGCUUUAAUUUACUUUUAUUUCCACCCGGGGAAUUUUCGUUCCCGUUUUCACGGAGGUUUUUAACUGGACCCGACCUCCGACUGGCAUUGGCUGCAUUGCCCGGAAUAAAAGGAUCUUUCACGAAUCCGCCGCCCCUAUCCGUGCUUUUAUUCUCAAUUUCGCAACAGCCCCGCGAUACAAUUCCUCGUAGAAUUACGGAACACCGACUACACGGUGUAAUAAA